GACGUAGGGCGCGAGCGUUGUCCGGAUUUAUUGGGCGUAAAGAGCUCGUAGGCGGCUUGUCGCGUCGACUGUGAAAACCCGUGGCUCAACCAUGUGGUCUGCAGUCGAUACGGGCAGGCUAGAAUUCGGUAGGGGAGACUGGAAUUCAUGGUGUAGCAGUGAAAUGCGUAGAGAUCAUGAGGAAGACCAGUGGCGAAGGCGGGUCUCUGGGCCGAUACUGACGCUGAGGAGCGAAAGCGUGGGGAGCGAACAGG
rnacentral:rRNA from 1 species